CUGUAUUUCAAAGUCGAUGUGCUCAAAUGAGAAUAAACUAUUUGAUAAUUUCUAGAACCUCUACCUGCAGUAGGCUACUCAUACAUUUUCCCCUCCUCACAGAGUCAUUAUGUUUGCCUCAUUUAUUACCGAGAGUAUUUUAAGCUAAAUGAAUAGUCGUCUCUAUCUGCACGGUGUCUCUGAAGGCCCCGGCUGUGCACACAGGAAGCCUGAGGGAAAUGGCCUGUGAAAACAGCACGGCUCGCUCCUCUCUAUCACCGCUCUCCAGCUGGAGCACACAUGCACACUCUCUCACCUCUCUCUCUCUCUCUCUCUCUCUCUCUCUCUCGCUCUCUCGCUCUCUCUCUCGCUCUCUAGCAAAUGAAUUCCCGCCCUCGCUGAUCAUAGCCAUUCAGUAUCAUCUGUCUUCAUUGCGGGGGCUUGGGAGACAGCUGGUGGUGCUGUAUUAGGGUGAAAGAUUAGUCUCCACUGUGUUUCUUCUCCCGACACGAGGUCCCACAUCAGCAAGUGGUUAACUAGCCCCUGUUCCCGUUGUUCUCCAUCGCUCUCAGCUCAGCCAUGAAACCAUUCCCGUAAGUAGGCACUGAUUCACAAGAACACCAACACUCAUGCCAGCCCCUUGGACGGAAAGGUCUUUCUCCUCACGCAGACAUGGGAGAGCCAUUUCAGACAUGGACAGUUGAAGAACUGCAGGGGUGUAUCUCCUUCAGAUCGUGCAGUGCUCCGUGUCCUGACUGAUGGACGCAUCUCAUGCAGUGAAUACGAGCCUCCACAGUGAGUUAAUGAGUGACCAGCGACAGCGAAAUGGCCCAGAGGAACAUAAUGACUGACGUGGCAAAAGUCCUAAUUGAUUUCCUGGAUGCGAGGCCUAAUAAGAAUCAGGGGAGUAGUCAUUACGGGUGUGUGAGACUGGCUGUUGCUGCUCCUGUAAUGAGGCCUCUUACGAAACACAGACAGCAAUUACACGAACUAAGGUACAAGGUAAGAGACGAAACAGGCCGAGCAAGUGGAGAGAAACAACGUGGGACACAAGGAAACGGUGACCAAAGAAUAACCAGCUCCUACAGCAAUCACAAGUUACUCACAAACACAUAAUUAAUGAUUUAAAGGAACACACUCUAAUUCUGGAAGAGAAAAAAAAGGAAUUUUAGAAUAAAGAAGCUAAUUACCCUGAGCUGGCAUAGCCAGGGCAGGGUAUUAGUUACACCCCUGUCUCUGUGUGUGUGUGUGUGUGUGUGUGUGUGUGUGUACAGACAACAUUGCAACAAUGCAUCGAUGGAUUUUCAUCAAACUUGGGGGGAUUGUAACUUGGGACUGUAUCUCCAGAUGAUUAACUUUUGGAGCUGAUCGGUCAAGGGGGGUCAGGUGGGGAAGGAAGCUUUUUUUUGUACAAAUGAAAGCGAAUUCAUGGAUUUUCUUUAUGCAGUGAGUUCAAGAAUCUUGGAAAUUGAGAAUGAAUAAAAUGUUCCCAUUAUUGUAAUGCAGACGUUAAAUGAUGUCAAUUCAAAGAGCAGCUCUCGCUCAAAAUGCAAAUUACACUAUACACCUUGGUCGUCUGGCCCACUGCGUUUCAAACUAACUGUUAUUUGGUGUCCACAGGCGGGAAAAUCAGCUGCUCAUUUGAGCUGUGAUCUUGUCCGUACUGUACGCACUGAUUUUGAUUGAGUUGUGGUGCCUUCACAUUAGAAAACUCACAAACUUAAGUAAGCUCAAAGAUGACGUCGAAAUGAAAUGUCGGAUUUUUUUUUCAUUGCUGUUGAUGAACACCACUGUAACACUGUCACUGAAGAUCUCAGGAAUCAAAGUAUUACAACUUUGGAAAACUGUUUUCUUUUCUCUCUGUGAUGACGUCUUUGUCAUUUUGAAGACAGUAUGGUUGACGUCCACCUGGAC
rnacentral:lncRNA from 1 species